UACGGAGGAUCCGAGCGUUAUCCGGAUUUAUUGGGUUUAAAGGGUGCGUAGGUGGAUUGGUAAGUCAGUGGUGAAAGUUUGCAGCUUAACUGUAAAAUUGCCGUUGAAACUGCCGGUCUUGAGUGCAAAUGAGGUAGGCGGAAUGCGUCGUGUAGCGGUGAAAUGCUUAGAUAUGACGCAGAACUCCGAUUGCGAAGGCAGCUUACUGGGAUGCAACUGACGCUGAGGCAUGAAAGCGUGGGUAUCAAACAGGAUUAGAUA
rnacentral:rRNA from 1 species